UAGGGAAUCUUCCGCAAUGGACGCAAGUCUGACGGAGCAACGCCGCGUGAGUGAAGAAGGAUUUCGGUUCGUAAAACUCUGUUGUUAGAGAAGAACAGCGCAUAGAGUAACUGUUUUGCGUGUGACGGUAUCUAACCAGAAAGCCACGGCUAACUACGUGCCAGCAGCCGCGGUAAUACGUAGGUGGCAAGCGUUGUCCGGAUUUAUUGGGCGUAAAGCGAGCGCAGGCGGUCAAUUAAGUCUGAUGUGAAAGCCCCCGGCUCAACCGGGGAGGGUCAUUGGAAACUGGUUGACUUGAGUGCAGAAGAGGAGAGUGGAAUUCCAUGUGUAGCGGUGAAAUGCGUAGAUAUAUGGAGGAACACCAGUGGCGAAGGCGACUCUCUGGUCUGUAACUGACGCUGAGGCUCGAAAGCGUGGGUAGCAAACAGG
rnacentral:rRNA from 1 species